rnacentral:rRNA from 1 species
UACGGAGGGUGCGAGCGUUGUCCGGAAUCACUGGGCGUAAAGGGCGCGUAGGUGGCUCGUGAAGCGUGCGGUGAAAGUCCGAGGCUCAACCUCGGAUCGGCCGUGCGGACUCGCGGGCUCGAGCGUUGUAGAGGCGGGUGGAAUUCCGGGUGUAGCGGUGGAAUGCGUAGAGAUCCGGAAGAACACCGGUGGCGAAGGCGACACACUGGCCCGUUACUGACGCUGAGGCGCGAAAGCGUGGGGAGCAAACAGG